rnacentral:rRNA from 1 species
UACGUAGGGUGCGAGCGUUGUCCGGAAUUAUUGGGCGUAAAGGGCUCGUAGGCGGUUUGUCGCGUCGGGAGUGAAAAACAUCCAGCUUAACUGGGUGCUUGCUUUCGAUACGGGCAGACUUGAGGUAUGCAGGGGGAGAAUGGAAUUCCUGGUGUAGCGGUGAAAAUGCGUAGAGAUCAGGAAGAACACCGGUGGCGAAGGCGCUCUGCUAGGCCGUAACUGACACUGAGGGGACGAAAAGCUAGGGGGAGCGAAUGGG